UACGUAGGGCGCAAGCGUUUGUCCGGAAUUAUUGGGCGUAAAGAGCUCGUAGGCGGCUUGUCACGUCGAUUGUGAAAGCCCGAGGCUUAACCUCGGGUCUGCAGUCGAUACGGGCUAGCUAGAGUGUGGUAGGGGAGAUCGGAAUUCCUGGUGUAGCGGUGAAAUGCGCAGAUAUCAGGAGGAACACCGGUGGCGAAGGCGGGUCUCUGGGCCGAUAUUGACGCUGAGGAGCGAAAGCGUGGGGAGCGAACAGG
rnacentral:rRNA from 1 species